UGAUGGUCUAUAUCCCUCCAGCAUACUAAACGCGUUUUAUACUUUAAUUACCCACCAUGUCAUUGGGUUAACAUCCUCACCAACAGGUCGCUGCCCUCUGCUCUCUCGCGACCACGCCCUCGGGGCAGUUUUCCAUUGCCCAGCGCCCCACACCUCGCCCCACCUCUUCCCUCCCCGCCAGCCACCGCCUGCCUCCAUCUGCACGCGUCGCCGGACCGCCGCGUCCACGCGUAGCCCGGACUGCCGCCCACGCUCCAGGCGCCCGGUCCGCCACGCCCACGCUUGAGGCGCCCAGGCCGCCCCAUCCACGCUCCAGGCGAACCGCGGCGCCCACGCUCGAGGCUCCCGGGCCGCCCCCUCCAUGCUCCAGGCGGACCACGGCGCCAUAGCUCCAGGCGCCCGGACCGCCACGCUCACGCUCCAGCCGCUCGGGCCGCCGCGUCCAUGCACCGCCCGGUCACAGGCACCGCUGGUCCUCCACACUGCAGGAUGAGCAAGAGUAAUCCAGACAAAGUUCCAGGAAUGACUACGCAUCGUUCCCCAUUUAAAGACAUAACGAACUCGUCUAUGAUUGAGAAUGCAAAUGUCACUACUAAUAGUCAAGAAGCAAAAAAGAAUACAUUGUAUGCCCGAAUGUCUGAUGAGAAGAGAGCAACAUUCCUUGAAAAACGUUGUAUGUCCCGACAAGAAAAGAAGUCUCAGGCUCUGAAUAUUGUUAAUGGUCAACUAACACUUGAGGCACAUGCUCCGUUAGGAUCCAAGGAAUGUACACCUUUGAGAAACAUAACCAACACACACACAAAUGGUAUGUUCAUACUCUGCAUAUCAUAAUUAUUGAAUGACCAUUUGCUCAUUUUGCUAGGAGGUUUGUCUCCUGCGUUGUGCCAGAUGCAACAUGUACUGAAGCCGCAGGACGCCCUUGAACAGCGGGAUCUGCCGCCUCCCUUGGACUUCGCCGGCAAGGCGUGAUCCGUCGUCGCCACCCACUCCUCCCAUGGGAGGAUGCGGCUGCUAUCAUCAACCUCCGCUCCAUGGGCGUGCUCCCAAAUUCAGUAUGUUAGAUUUGCAGAGACUGAUGUUGCAUGACGCAAGAAGAAACAUGUGGUUCUGUUGCGAAUCACCGCAGCGAUGCAGUGCCAUGGAAGCUGGAGAAUUUUUAUCUACUAUACUUGUUCGUUGCCUGCAUCAUAUUGCAGUUCCAAAGUCCACAUAAGGAAUUUUAAAUAAUACAUAAUUCAUUGGCGUGUACUCUGUCAUAGGAUGUUGCUUUACAUUUUGGGCGCACCAUGUUUUAACUGAGAAGGCAGUUGUUGGUACAGUUAGAGUUCAAAGAGGUCCUUCGACGAGGGUGUGUCAAAACUCAGCUAGGCGCUUCGAUGUCAACUGUUCAUUGGGUGCUAGCUAUCCCUGAAGACUGGUUGUUGUACAUACUGGCUGCUGUACAUAUUUCAGAAUAUUUGGCUGCUUGCUAGAGAGUGCAUACUGGCUGGUGUACAAAUUUCAGAAUAUUUGCAGUACAUAAAUAUCUUAUGAUGUUAAAAAUUCACAGUGGUUCCUUCGCUACCCUCCUCAUUCGGUGUUCCACCUCACCACUCCCCAGCAGUGGGAGCAGAGCAGCCGACGGGUUCCUGGCUUACUUGCCUCGCAAAGAGGUAGUCAUGACUGAACCUGAAAAAAUGUUGCUUCCUGUAUACAUUAGUAGAGGAAAAAAUGACUUGAUUUCUGUAGGAGUGUCUUGUGGAUUAAGUGGAUAUGUAAUGUCCUUUUUAAAAAGUGGAUAGGUAAUGUACUAUUCUUGAUUGCAACUGGUGCUUUUUUGGAAAUUUGAUAACACCACAAGCAGCAAUCGAUUUUGAAAGCCAAAAACAUCCAAAACAUGUACAGUGGGAGUACUGCCAGUUUAGGAGCAAAGUAACCAUUACUAGAGUAAUGAAUAUGAGAAAUGAAUAGUUGAUGAAACUGA